AAGGGUAUAGCUCAGUGGUUAGAGGAUAUGCUUAGCAUGCACAAUGUUCUAGGUUCAAUCCCCAGUACCUCCA
rnacentral:tRNA from 1 species